UGCCAGACAGGAGAGUGGAAGGGGAGCCCUCAAGGGCAGGGAGGCCUCUGGGUAAAGGAAGUGGGAGCGAGGACUCGGAUCCUUUCGCUAGCCCACUUCACCGGGGUAGUGCAGAAGCCAGGAAAGUUCCCCACAAUAGCGGGACCAUUCCCCGCUUACACUAGUAUAACCGUCGGGACCACACUCCAAAGCAGUGUGAAUGGUGCACAGUCGCAUCUGACUCCUCCCCUGCCAUAUGCUCAGGCGGGGCCACACGCUGAUCCGCCCAGUGGCUCAGCCCUCCCACCUGGGCCGCUCGGUGCCUGGCCCUGGGGCACCUCCCCUGCUGCACCCUUGGCAAGCGAAAAUGAAACACGGAGCCGAGUCGCUGGGAAAUUCCCCUGAUGGAGCCUCCAGCAGCCAGAGACUCGUCUGGGGGGCAGCUUCCCACAACUAAACAGCACCUGUUCUGGACCCAGGUGUCCUAGGGGCCCUGCCUGCCCCCCCCCCCCGACCGCCUGGAUGGCCUCCUCCCCCGACACCGACCUCAGGUGCCUGCUGCAGACCGCCCUGGACGGGGCACCCAAAAUCAAUGACCGCAACUCAACGGUGCACGGGUGCCCGGCGCUGCGGGCCUGCCCCGGCUGCAGUGCUCUGGUGACCCACACCCAGAAGGGCUGCCCCACGGUGUGGUGUGCUGAGUGCCCGUGCUCCUUCUGCUUCCGGUGCCUGAAAGUGGGUUACUGCGGGUACAAGCUCCCCCGAUGCCGCAUCAAGAAGAGGCAACAACUGCAGGGCAAGGGAAGCAGCCAGCCCCAGCUGUGAGCCAGGAACAUCUUUGUGCCAACAGGCAGGGGACAAACAGACGAGGGGAUGGACCCUCCUGCCCACCCCUCCCUUUUGGGGUGUCAUGAACAUUCAGCUAAGGGUAGCAUAAAAUCCCUCCUUUACCUGUAAAGGGUUAAGAAGCUCAAAUAAACUGGUUGGCACCUGACCAACAGGACCAAUAAGGGGAGAAGAUACUUUCAAAUCUGUGGGGGACGGUUUUUGCUUUGUGCUCUGUCUGUUGUUCUCUCUGAGACAAAGAGAGAGACCUACUGAAA